rnacentral:lncRNA from 1 species
AUGUGUCAAUGGCCCUUUAAAAGUUGUUCUACCAUGUAUCCAACCAUAUGUGUCAACCAACUCCACUGCCAUCUCUUGGGAAUUUUGACUCAUGGCAUUAUUAAAACCAAACCAGGUGCUCAGGACUCCGAGGCUUCCCCAGUACCUCCCAAGAAAAUCUUUGUCACCUCCAGAAUUACUGGGGUUUCACCAGAUGAGCCAUCAAGGGAGCUCAUCUGGAAAUUUCAUCUCCACAAGCUCACCAUCCCACUGGUUCCCAUCGACCUUAAACGCCACCCUGAGCUCAUGGUUCGUUUGACUCGCAUUGGCCCUGAGACUGCCUGCAGAGCCCUUGGAGAGAGCAACAGCUGCACGGCUUCAGAGCAGCACACCAAGCCAACAACCCAUCAGGUUCUUCAUUCCAGAGCCUCACUGCUGCUUCAGCUGAGGAUUCAGAGCUGCCUGCAGGCCUUUCCAGGACAAGUCCAGGUCCUCAAGAGCGUGACGCUUCCCUAGCACCUCCCAAGCAAGUGUUUCUUUCUACAAGAUCAUCUCAGUGGCUGGGGAUGCUGAUGUUCAUUGAAUAUAAAGUACUCAGCACUAUAAUGUUGCUCUUACUACUCAGCACAGACUCACAUUUUAGUAUAUUACUCACACUUUAUUCUGCAUGCUGAUCCUGAGAUCAGCUCAACCUGUUAGACCCUGGUGCUAAAAACAUCAAGGUUGUGGGUACAGUCCCCGUAUGGGCCAAAAGUGGGAUUUGAUCCUUAUAGGUCCCUUCCAACAUAAUAUUCUGUGAUGCUGUGGCUUACUAAUUUCUGUGUGAAACUUAGGUGUUUAUCACCCACUACAUUGUCUUAAUGUGCUUGCUCCUCCAAACACUCCAUGAUUCCUUUGCUUUUACUGAUGAUAAAUGAAAGCAUGGAAGUCAAAGUUAACAUUGUGAUGACAAACUUUUUCAAAUCAGUACAAUGUGAUUUUUUAAGUUUUCAGGACAGAAUUUCCAUUUACUAAAGUUUAAUUGUGAAAUCUCAACAUGUAUGUGAACUGGGAUGCUCAGGGUUAGAAGUAAUAUGCAAAUAAUUCAUGAGGGUUUUGGCUUGGAACUCUGGGUUUUGGGUCAUUCUAUUUGGUUUGUUUGCAGGAGUUUGGCUAGACUGACCUAUAAAAAUUUCAGUAAGACUUCGUGCAAUGAAAAUUAAAUUCCCAAGGUUCAUGUGUCUUAGUUUUAAGGUCUUUCUUCUCUAUAUGAGUCAUCAAAUACUCUUGUCUACAUAUCAUUCAAUCUCCAGAAGCUUUGAUCUCAUAUUCCAAAUGUUUAUUACAAUUUUCUUGUUAACAUCACUACUGUGCAAGCAUACUGACUGUUCAAAAUACAGUAAGAAAAGCACUCUCUGUCCAUUUUCUUACACAUGAAGAUGUGCUGUAUCUUGGUGGAAACUGCAGUAUUCCCAAAUCAUCUUUUAAGACUGCUUGGGAAUAAUUCACCUACCCCCUUAUGCUACUUUACAGCAUA